CUCUUGUUCAAAUAGCCUUACGCUAUCUUUUGCAGCCUGAUAUUUAACAGAAAGAAGAGUUACUAAAACAUUUUAAACAUUUACAUGAUUAGCCCCUUAAUCUUGUGGAAGAAAGAAAUCUUGUUUGAGAUGCAAAUAGUACGAUAAUUUUCACUACAAUCUACACAUACAUGGAAACAACAAAAAUAUCUAUGAACAGUUCCUAUGGAUACUCAAUGUUUCUACGAGAUUUAAAAUUCUGCUCCAUAUAAUUUUCUCCAAAUUGGUCUACAUAAUUUAUGUAAUGAUGCACUUCUUGUAAACACUCAGAUUAUCGAAAAAUUUCAUCUAGCACCUUACACAUACAAAUCUCAUCUCAAUAGCAUGGAAAAAAUACCAGGACAGUCCUUUAGUAGGACAUACUUUAAAAUAAUAAUUUGCUAUGCUAGCUUAGCUUUUCCAAAUUAAAAAAACACCAUGACUAAUAUGCCAAGAAGUCAUAGGACCAUCUAAGUAUUGUUUUUCACCCUAUUUAUGUGCUUUCAAGCAUUUCACACACAUAAGAACACGAUGCAGUUCACUUUAAGUACACCAUCAAAUAUAUAAUGACAAAGGAUUUAGAACAAAUGUGAUUUUCCUUUCGAUACUUAUUGAUAUGCAGAAUUCCACUUUUCUCAACUUCAAAGCACAAUUUGCCUGUUGGCCUCUUCAUCACAACAUGAAUAGCAUUUGCUUCUAGUUUUGAUUUUACCUAACUGUAACAAAAACAUUACAAGUAAACAGGAAAACCACAUAUUGCAAGCACAUCUACUUGAAAUUUGAAAAUUACAGAAGCCCUUGACCUUUUUAAGAUAUUAACACCCAAAAUGGCUCCAGAAGGUCCUUGGUUACAUUGAAAUAUCCAGUCUGUUCAGUAGCCUGUGUUCCCCGAUUACUAUCUCAUAUGACCUCAAUACGUGUAUUUAACAUCAA
rnacentral:lncRNA from 1 species